UACAGAGGUGGCAAGCGUUGUUCGGAAUUACUGGGCGUAAAGGGCGCGUAGGCGGCCUUGUCAGUCAGACGUGAAAUCCCCAGGCUUAACUUGGGAACUGCGUCUGAUACUACAAGGCUGGAGUUCGGGAGAGGGAUGUGGAAUUCCAGGUGUAGCGGUGAAAUGCGUAGAUAUCUGGAGGAACACCGGUGGCGAAGGCGGCAUUCUGGACUGUAACUGACACUGAGGAACGAAAGCCAGGGGAGCAAACGGG
rnacentral:rRNA from 1 species